UCUCUCGAAUUCUGGGAAAUUUUUCUUAAUCACAUCUAAGGUGGCCAUUCCUUCCAAAAUCAAUGGCUCUCUCUCUUCACAAAACCAUCCAGUCCUUACCACAAAACACAAUACACUAAAUAUUUUUAAUGUGUCUAAGGAACUGCCACACCAUUCUGUAUAUAGAAAGUGUCCCCUACUUCAAAACAUGAGUGAUUAUAUACAAAUGCAUCCUCAAAGCACAUCACUUCCCUAGCUUCAUAAAAUAGUUCAUUGUUGCCAAAAGCUCACAAGUCAACACUUUUCACUCAUGGAAAAACAUGACUUGCUAGGGGAAGUGUUGCGUCCAAAGAAUGAUUUUCUUUUUUUCCUAAGGUAUGCUUUUAAAAGAAAAUCUGGUAGUUUUAAUUCCUUGUCUCAACUCCGUUAAUAGGAAGCACAUUACAAAUACCAUAAUACAAGUUCAAAAGAACAAGAAAAACUAAAAAUCUAUUUGAAGCCAUUUCUUGAGAUAUAGCACAAAGAUGCAUUUUUAACUCCAAACCAUCUAAGUAAUCCGAGAAAUCUCUGUCAUAUUCCUGACUAGGUCAAUAAGUGUACCCCAUCCCGGGAAUCCAGACUUUUAAUCCUGCAGCCAAUUACCCCUCUAUAAAUAGCUUGGUCUGGGUUUCUAUCGGCAGGCAUUUUGUAUUUCAAAAUUCGUUACCCCGAAAGAACGUCCUGAGUAACUCGGUAACUGGGAGCCCCUCUCCCUUGGUCAUCCAAGCAUUUUCCACCUCAAAAAAAAAAAAAAAAAAAAAGCCCCCCUACCGCCCGAUUAGAAAAGAGAGAAAAAAAAAUAAACGGCUCGGUCGGGGGGGGGCGCUGCGAUCCAGGGGGAGGGGCAGGAGUAGUAGCGCCUCCUCGUGUGGCUGCGCCAGCGCCUGACCCCCGCGGGGAGCCGCGCUCACCCGCCCGGCCAGCGAGCCGGCCAUCGCCUCCCCACCCCCCUCGACCAACAAAUCCACCGCCGCCCCCCCUACCGCGCGCGCGCCCUCCUUGACUCCUGCGCAGCCGCCACCGGGAAAAGGCGGGGGGAGGGGGGAGCAGGCCUCGCGCAAGGCCUACUAGGCCGCGCUGGAGCCAGGCCCUCGCGUGAAUGCCGGGCAAGCAGGGUGAGGUGCGCUAACCGCCCCGGGGGCCGGCGAGGCGACUGCGUACUCCAGACCUUCCCCCACGCAAUGCGGACGGCCUCCCGUGAGCCUAGAGCGGCCCCUUGGACAGCGUCGGUACCACAGAGACAACGAUAGAUAGUGAAUGGCGAGUUGUGUGGUAGAGCGGCAGCAUGCAGCGAGAAGUUGGGAGGAAACCGACGCCCCCUCGUGGGCAAGCUGGAAUCCUCAAGUGUAAGUGCGGAGAGAGGUGGCAGUCGCCAUGGAUCAAGAAGGGAGAAGGAAAAAGGGUGGGUGGAGAAAGAAUAAGAAGAGAGGAGGAAAAUCCAAUAGCAUAUACUGAUACCAAAAAUAAAAAAGGGUAAAUAAAACUAACUUGCCA
rnacentral:lncRNA from 1 species